UACAGAGGAGCCAAGCGUUGUCCGGAUUGACUGGGCGUAAAGAGCUUGUAGGCGGUUUGUCGCGUCUGCUGUGAAAUUUCGGGGCUCAACCCCGAACUUGCAGUGGGUACGGGCAGACUAGAGUGCGGUAGGGGUGACUGGAAUUCCUGGUGUAGCGGUGGAAUGCGCAGAUAUCAGGAGGAACACCGAUGGCGAAGGCAGGUCACUGGGCCGCAACUGACGCUGAGGAGCGAAAGCAUGGGGAGCGAACAGG
rnacentral:rRNA from 1 species